rnacentral:rRNA from 1 species
GAUGAACGCUAGCGGCAGGCCUAAUACAUGCAAGUCGGACGGGAUUGGAGAGCUUGCUUUCCAUGAGAGUGGCGCACGGGUGCGUAACACGUAUGUAACCUACCUUGUUCAGGGGGAUAGCCUCUCGAAAGAGAGAUUAAGACCGCAUAACAUUAUUGAAUGGCAUCGUUUAAUAAUCAAAUAUUUAUAGGAACAAGAUGGGCAUGCGGAACAUUAGCUAGUUGGUAAGGUAACGGCUUACCAAGGCUACGAUGUUUAGGGAUCUGAGAGGA